GCAACUCAAGACGUUCUCCCUCUUGAUGUUGCAAGAUGUUGCAUAUUUCAGACCAAUUAUAUUAGGCGAUCUUCAUGGAACUUACACACCUUACUGAAGGAAUGCCAAUCUACAAGGGUGGUAAUUUUGAUUGAAAAAGGGUAGUUCAUCAACCUCAGCCAAAGGUGGCUGAACUUUGACCUUCAUUUUUUACAGGCUGCGAUGCUGAAACUUGGACCACUUGCAGCCCUCUUCACGUGUAACACGUCAAUAAAUUUUCAUUGCACUAGAACAACUUUUAUGAACCCUAACUAACGCCCCCACAAACACAAG